rnacentral:rRNA from 1 species
ACAGGUGCUGCAUGGCUGUCGUCAGCUCGUGUCGUGAGAUGUUGGGUUAAGUCCGUAACGAGCGCAACCCUGUCCUUAGUUACCAGCACGUUAUGGUGGGCACUCUAAGGAGACUGCCGGUGACAAACCGGAGGAAGGUGGGGGAUGACGUCAAGUCAUCAUGGCCCUUACGGCCUGGGCUACACACGUGCUACAAUGGUCGGUACAAAGGGUUGCCAAGCCGCGAGGUGGAGCUAAUCCCAUAAAACCGAUCGUAGUCCGGAUCGCAGUCUGCAACUCGACUGCGUGAAGUCGGAAUCGCUAGUAAUCGUGAAUCAGAAUGUCACGGUGAAUACGUUCCCGGGCCUU